AUUGAACGCUGGCGGCAGGCCUAACACAUGCAAGUCGAGCGAGCGGCGGACGGGUGAGUAAUGUAUGGGGACUGCCCGAUAGAGGGGGAUAACUCCUGGAAACGGUAGCUAAUACCGCAUACUAUCGGAUAACCCAUAUGGGAUUAGCUGGUGGGUGAUGUAAUGGCUCACCUAGGCGACGAUCCCUAGCUGGUCUGAGAGGAUGAUCAGCCACACUGGGACUGAGACACGGCCCAGACUCCUACGGAGGCAGCAGUGGGGAAUAUUGCACAAUGGGGGCAAGCCUGAUACAGCCAUGCCGCGUGUAUGAAGAAGGCCCUAGGGUUGUAAAGUACUUUCAGUCGGGAGGCGUUACCGACAGAAGAAGCACCGGCUAACUCCGUGCCAGCAGCCGCGGUAAUAC
rnacentral:rRNA from 1 species